CAUACGGCCAUCCAAGUAUCUCUCCCUGCAGUCGUCCCGUCGUUCCCGACAACUUAAAUAAUGGUGGCAGAGGGAGCAUGCCCAGGUGGACACACCUCACCACUGCCUGCAUCAUAACCUGAGCUAGAAUUGAAUACCUAUUCCCUGUUGACUGGCUAAGAAACCUACCUUCCUAAGCUUGUCUUUCUGGGUGGUAGGGAGAGCAUUUUUAUUACUUAUACUGUAUGGUGAUUAGGGAGACUACUUUAAAGGCAACUUUCUGGAAAUCCGGUGAGGAAUGGGUGUGAUUUUUUUUUUUUUUUUUUUUUUUGGUAUUUCAAUAGACUAUGGUUCCUGAGAGUAUAUAUUCUGCAUUUGUAUAGCACCUGCAGUCUGUGCCCAUCUGAGUGUUGUCAAUCCUGUGCAAGAGGCACAUUAGGCUUUUCUUUGUACAAAUGAGCAAAGUGGCCCAGAGGAUUAAGUGACUUUUCUUAGGUCGUAUGGGACAGUGGGUGGUAGAGCCAGAUUUAAAUUGGAACUAUUGCCUUGUUUCCUAGCAUAAGCUAUGUCAUAAUGAUGACAGGUCUUUAAAAAACGAUGUUUUCGCCUUGUAACAAAUGAACUAAAGGAGAAAUGGGGAGAAGCUGAGGCUGCCAAGGUGCUGCUGCACGAGCUCACUGAUUCCCCUGCUGGAAGGAGCCUGAGGGAGGGGUUAAGUCACACCUGAACACUGUUCCUGGUGUAGGAAUAACAUGGCCUGUUGCUUUAAAUUGGUAUGAUUUCUCCGGAUGAAGGAAACCAGGCAAGUGAGUCAACCUGUGUUGGCUUUCAUGCCCUCUAAGGAUGUUGUCCCCCCAGGGAGGGUAGGAAACUACAGGAGAGAAGGUCACAGAAAGAUAAGGAAAGAGAGAAAGAGAUCCUUCCAAAGCCGGGGCAAUCUGGAAGUCUAACAAAUCACAACAGCCUGUUGAAGCUGUUGCAAAUGUGACUGCAGAAUCCCUGCCUGUAAUCCCGACAUCAGCAAAUGUUCCCGUGUUCGAAAAGGAUGGAUCCUGUAUUGUCCCCAGCUCAGGACAUACUUGAAAAAGUGUGCAGAGGUGUGCAGAGCUCGGGACUCAGUCGUGUCUGAGGAUACAAACGAGGGCCGGUACACAGCCCAGGCCCGCCUGCUUUCAUGUCGGGGCCUCACCUCAUUUCAGGUUCAGAGGAAGUUCACACACGCAGCCCCCUUCGGAGAGAACCUCCAUACGGGCAUUGCCCUGUGUGGCAGGAGAGAACCUCGGGGCAGCUGGGGCACCUUUCCUGUGAUACCGUGACCACUCUUCCAAGGAGCAGAAUUCAGUGAUUCAUCACUUACAUACAGCACCCAGUGCUCAUCCCAGAGCAAGGAGAGGGAAGACUGGAAUGGGAAUGGCAGACGAGGCUUCCCAGAGGAGGAGGGAAACAGGAGGAGGUAAGGAGGGUCUGCUUCAAGCGAGGAGUGGCGUGCAGUGGCUUUGGAGGAAUGGCUGUGUGGGAGACCCACUGGGAAGCUCAGUGGUGGAGAAUCGACUUCAGGAUGUGGGGUCAGAGUCUGACAAGCUGAGAGAUUCUUUCUGUAAUUUUGGUAAGAAAAUAAAUUUGGUAACAGCAAUAUGGCAGUAUAUAUGUAUGCAUGUAUCUAGAACUUCAAACAGCCUUCCUCUUCCCCUUUCCUUCCCUCUUAGUCCUAAACUGUGGCAGGACUCAGCCCAGCUCCACAUGGGUGGGGGAAGCAGGGACUGCAUGCCUGGAACAGGGCAAGAAAGGAACGCAUGAAGGGGGGCGGGCAGGACGUGAGACCGGUCAUUGCCAGUGCAAGCAGGGUGAUGGGAGGUCAGUACCUGGAAAGCCCAAGCUGGGUAAGAGGGGAUGGAGGGGCGUGAAGCCCACAUCAGCAGAGGGUGGCAAUGUGUGGGAACGGGGAUGGUGACAGUGGCUUGGCAUGGGCUGUCAAGCCUGUGUGUAGAGGGGGCCCGGAAGCUCUCUUUGCUCACGUGUACCCUUGUGUGUUAUUACUGCACACACAUGCAGUAACCCCCAGUUCUGUCCUGGGAGGCCUGAUAGUGGCACCCCAGGGCAGUAAGCACACCUACAGCCCAGAUCUUGGCUUUUAAACACCAUUCUCCACAGAAGAAAUCAGAAUGCCUUGGGGGCUGGGGGUGGGGAGAGGUUGGCUUCAGGUCUGAGGCAGGAAAAAUAGGAGAUGCAAUGAAACAUCUAGUUGAACCAGAAAGCAAGAAUAUGCUUCAAGAAUAAUGAGGGAAUGUAAAAAAGACACAGAAGCCAGUUUGAAGAGACUCUCACUAGCCAAAUCUGAGGCAUUCUGACACCAAAAUAAUGACAGUAAAGACUUACAAUGAAUUGAAUAAAAUAGGCGUCCGUACUAAUAUAAACAAACAGAUUACUUGGAAAUUUGAUGGGGAAUGCAGUGUUCCAUAGUCUCAAAGUACCUCCUUACAAAAUACUUAAUAAUUACAAAGGACGAAAGAAAGCUUCACAGUGGGGAAGCCCUGAAGAUGCCACUGGGGUGAAGUGGUCAGAGGGAAUGGACAUCAUCUGUGGUAGACAGACAAGUGGGGUGCUGCGUGCUGGAAUGUUCCAUGAGCACAGCAUUGCUUCUGUGAUUACUCCUGCCAAAGGGCCGUUGCCUGAAACUAGCUGUGAGGUUUUUUCAGACAAAACCAAAUUACAAAAUAACUGGCUUGUAGCCUGCAGAGGUGUCAAGGUCAUGAAAAUCAAGGAAGGACUGAGAACCGUGUCACUGAGGGAGAGUGAAGACAACUGACUGGAUUCUGAACUUGCGCUUUUAAAAAAAUGUUUUAGCGUUUAUUUAUUUUUGAGGUGGGGAGGGGCAGAGAGAGAGGGAGACACAGAAUCCGAAGCAGGCUCCAGGCUCCGAGCUGUCAGCACAGAGACCUAUGU